rnacentral:rRNA from 1 species
AGUCCCGCAACGAGCGCAACCCUUUUCCUUAUUUGCCAGCACUUUGGGUGGGAACUUUAAGGAUACUGCCAGUGACAAACUGGAGGAAGGCGGGGACGACGUCAAGUCAUCAUGGCCCUUACGACCAGGGCUACACACGUGCUACAAUGGUUGGUACAAAGGGUUGCUACACAGCGAUGUGCUGCUAAUCUCAAAAAGCCAAUCGUAGUCCGGAUUGGAGUCUGCA